GACGAACGCUGGCGGCGUGCUUAACACAUGCAAGUCGAACGGAAAGGCCCUGCUUUUGUGGGGUGCUCGAGUGGCGAACGGGUGAGUAACACGUGAGUAACCUGCCCUUGACUUUGGGAUAACUUCAGGAAACUGGGGCUAAUACCGGAUAGGAGCUCCUGCUGCAUGGUGGGGGUUGGAAAGUUUCGGCGGUUGGGGAUGGACUCGCGGCUUAUCAGCUUGUUGGUGGGGUAGUGGCUUACCAAGGCUUUGACGGGUAGCCGGCCUGAGAGGGUGACCGGCCACUGUGGAGCGGACAUACGGCCGCAGCACCGACGGAGAGGAGGAGGGGGGAGUAUGGCACAAUGGGCGAAGGACUGAGCAGGCAGCCCGCCGUGCGGGUGGUCGGCCUCCGGGUUGAAAGCCUAUUUUGGCUGUGACGAGGGUUGGUGAAGGGAAAGGGUGAAAAAGGCACCGGUAAACUAGGU
rnacentral:rRNA from 1 species